rnacentral:tRNA from 2 species
UCUUUGAUGGUCUAGCGGUCAUGAUUUCCGCUUGUCAGUCUUCACUGCGCGGGAGACCGGGGUUCGACUCCCCGUCAGAGAG